UACGUAGGGUGCAAGCGUUGUCCGGAAUUAUUGGGCGUAAAGAGCUCGUAGGCGGUCAGUCGCGUCUGCUGUGAAAACUCGGGGCUCAACUCCGAGCUUGCAGUCGAUACGGGCAGGCUAGAGUUCGGCAGGGGAGACUGGAAUUCCUGGUGUAGCGGUGAAAUGCGCAGAUAUCAGGAGGAACACCGGUGGCGAAGGCGGGUCUCUGGGCCGAUAUUGACGCUGAGGAGCGAAAGCGUGGGGGAGCAAACAGG
rnacentral:rRNA from 1 species